rnacentral:rRNA from 1 species
GACGAACGCUGGCGGCGUGCUUAACACAUGCAAGUCGAACGAUGAAGCCGGAGCUUGCUCUGGUGAAUUAGUGGCGAACGGGUGAGUAACACGUGAGUAACCUGCCCUUGACUCUGGGAUAACUGCGGGAAACUGUAGCUAAUACCGGAUACGACCCUCGGAGGCAUCUCCUGGGGGUGGAAAGAAUUUCGGUCAAGGAUGGACUCGCGGCCUAUCAGCUAGUUGGUGAGGUAAAGGCUCACCAAGGCGACGACGGGUAGCCGGCCUGAGAGGGUAGCCGGCCACACUGGGACUGAGACACGGCCCAGACUCCUACGGGAGGCGGCAGUGGGGAAUAUUGCACAAUGGGCGCAAGCCUGAUGCAGCAACGCCGCGUGAGGGAUGACGGCCUUCGGGUUGUAAACCUCUUUUAGCAGGGAAGAAGCGAAAGUGACGGCACCUGCAGAAAAAGCACCGGCUAACUACGUGCCAGCCGCCGCAGUAA